UGAUUGAAUUUAUCUCGUCUACUCACUGCUCGCUUAACUACCUUUGAACGUAUCGCCGUUGUUGAUAAUUCAAUCGCGCGGACAGGGUUCACGGAGUUGACCGGGCGUGCUCGCAAAGGGAAAAGGGAAGUUUAAACAAUAAUCACAUUUCUGCUUGUUUCACGAAACUCCUCUCAAAGAGCGGCGCAUCAUUUGCCGGUGAUUUCACCAAUUAAUGGUCGAAGUGAGUUUUUUAAUCUCUCAAUCAGCCCCGACGACGUUAACGGGUCGUACUUGUUGCUGUGUAGCGCGCAUAGAAAGUCCGGACUCUGUUGAAUACGAAAGAGGCCGUGUUUGCAGGCGUGUGCACGGGUCUCGUGUCACGGGCAACUGGAUGCCUGUCUCGUUAUCCUAAUGAGUUGGCCUUAAAAUUCUCCGAGCACGCCUGAAAAUCUUUUAACCUCAGCGCCAUUCCAGCGCGACGAACGAGUUGAAAGAAUUUUAAACGCUCCUUCCUCGACGCUGCAACCGUUCCGGAAAUGCAAGGCUCUUCUUUUGAUAAACAAAUAGUCGAGCAAUUCGUUUUAUUUCUUUUAAAAAUGAAUACAAGCAUGACUAACUUCUUUCCCGUCAGUUAGCCAUACCUGUUUUACUAGAUCAUCAACAGUCUACUCCAUGCGACUAGUAUAUCACACUUUGCAAAGUACUUAUUGCUACUUUCUCCCGUUUCCUUAUCGAUAUAAAAGCCGUCUAAAUUGUCUGCUAUGUAAGAACCUGUCUCUAUUCGGCCAUUUACAUGGUCGAUAAGACGCGAAAGGAAAGGAUAAAUCAAUUUUAUCCUCGGAAUUCACAGAUUGUUUCAAUGGUUCAUCGACGUUCCCUUCCAGGCGAACGGUUAUCAAGCUACUUUAACAAACUACCGGCAUUUCACGUAACUGCUUAUCAGUCAAGUAAGCGACUUAUAUCAGAGAGUGGUCGAUUUAGCCGACGAGUCGAUGGGGUGUAAGCGAGCGCCGGCUGCACGGCCGCCUUUUUUAAUGGAAACCUAGAGAAAAAUUGAGGGUUCUGCCAGCGAUAAACCGGCUCGAUUGAUUCCUCGCGAGCUCCAGGGAGUUCCUCAACCCCUGCGAUUCCCGUUUUUCGCCUUCAGCGAUCGCCUCUUUCCUCUUCCAAUUUUUUUUUUUUUUUUUUUUAUCUCACUUUCCUCGCGUAUGCAUGUUCCCCUUAAGUUUCAUUCGCCUUGAUAAAGCGGCGUGCUUUUUUUUUUCCUUCGAGACUAUCGGGCCUGCCGUAGCUGGUAUCGAUCAUUCGCCGUGUUUCUUCGAGGCACAACUAUCGACUUGUUCCAUCUGAAAUAUUCGAGAUCCGUUUCCGCGUGAUCGAGGAGCGUUUCGCGAGCGGAUUUAACGCUUCUUAGAGCGCGUAUCGCGACGAUCAACGAUUGGCUAGUUAAUUUUCGUUUCAUUUAUCGAACAGACACGAAUUCGUUACGCGUAUUUACCGUCGAGAUCCAUAAGCGAUAAAAUCCUUCGAGUCGUACGAUUGCUUUCACGAGCAGGACAAUUUUGUUAUUGCGUUAUUUGAAUGCAAAGUAUCGUUUUCUUAUGGAAAUCUUCAAAUCGUGCAUCUGGAAUUGCGGUGAUUCUCAGCCAGGGCUGUUUCAGUUUUCUUUCUUUUUCCCCCCCAUGAAACCAUCUUAUGAAAAUAUUCUCACAGCAUCGACAAUUUUAAUAAUUGCGAUUCUUAAAGAAAAACCUGUUUCCUUAAGUAGUUCUUCUUACAAACUUAUUUUAUCCUUAAUUUCCCAUCGUUUCGAAUACGACAAGGUCGCAAACGUCCUCUGGUGGUAGGUGUAAAAUUUAAAUAAUUCAAACUCAUAAGUUACGUGGACUUACGUUUCUCGCGAAUAACCGGUAGAAACGACCCGUCGAAUUAGGGAUUAAAACGUUAAACGGUGACAGAAGAAGAAGCUGUCGUUCAUUAUUCAAGAUUUCGCAGCGGAUCGAAUGGUCGAGUUCCGCUGAUUCAGUAGUAGAGCCGCAUCAUCCGGCAUGAAAAAGAAAAGGGGAAAGAGAGAAAAAAAUACGACAUCUCUAGAAACGGAGGAACUCAAUCUAUAUGCAAAUACGUUCAUCCUUUAUCUCGAGUAUGAGCAAUCGAUGGACGCUUGUCGAGGCCCCUUGUGGUUGCAGCUUCGAAACCAUUGCAUAAUGAGCGAGCCACGGGAUAUCUAAGCUCGGAAAAUAACGUAUAAAUAACACAACUAAUGAGACACUGGCGUAUUGGAUUUCAAGGGAAAGCGGAGCUUUAAUGGCGAUUGAAAUACAACGAUCCUGCGAUCAUGCGAUUUGCCUCGCGAUUCUAGGGUUGUAAAAUGGAAACGACGAUUCGAGGUGGAAAAUAUCCUGUACGAAAGGCGUGUUCAAAGCCUUCGAAUCGAUGCUUUUUAUUUCACCCUUAAUAGUUGGCUUGAAAGCAAAAUUAGAAAAAAAGAAACUGGUUAGAGAAUCAGGAUCUCCUCCUGAUGAUUGUUAUAUCGUUAAAAUUAAAAUUAGCUCUAUUGGUUUUGGGAAGCAGGGUGAUAAUAAAAAUGAAAAUUAAAAAUACCUAUAUAUGUUUAAUUGAAUUCGAAGCUUUGAAUUGACUGACUGGCAAAGAGCAAAAAUCCUCGAGCCAGACGGGUUCUCAUAGUCCUUAUCUGUUUCAACACUUUAUAUUCGCGUAUUGUGUUACGAAUUCCUUUUCGGUCCAGAAGAAUGAAGAAUAAACUAUUUGCCCCUCGGCAUCUUGUUUGAUUGUGAACGUGUUGUUGCUAUAAGAUCAUAUUAAUAAGCUCGAUACUGCGGAUACACUUAUUGUUCCACGAGCGAGCAGCGUUCCUUUUUAUAAUUGAUAAUAUCUCCGCGUUAGUUUACGAUCGUUCGAGAGCAGAAAAUCAUGUUAUACGGCCUUUCACGGUAGCCCCUGUACGCGAAGGCAUUUCGAACUGUUCGCCUAUCGUUAUAAUACUAAUGUCCGCCCACGAUUCUAGCGAGCAUCGUAACUUCCUUCUUCUCCGGCUUCCACGUCCUCUCGACGACGUUUCAUUGACGUAGCAAUACCGUAUCCUAGCUUCCAUCGGUAUUCGCAGACAUUCGCAUACUUCGCGUACGUCGGUUUCCACGAUAGUUGCCGGUGCAAUAUCUGGUAAUUGGUAACGCAAUAUAGAGAUCGAUAACGCGAAUGUUGGCCAAGUGGUCUUCCAACUCUCAUACCGAACCUUCCGGCAAAGUAAUUGAAUUUGCCGCUGAAUUUGAUAGAAAAUAAAAAGGUAACUACGGUUUUAGCCUCUUUGUUCGUUCAAUUUAAUUAAAUCGAGCAACUCCGAUAUUACUAGCUUUACCGUCUUUCGCGAGUCGGGGCGAGUUAGAUGUUAGCGCUGAUAAAAAAAAAAUGCUUAGACCCUUGUCUCGUGACAACCGUGAGGAAGAUUGGUAAAUCCGAAUGUCGGUGUGAAGUGUCCUUAACGCGACAGAAAUUCCCGGGCUGUUCCAUGGUACAAUAUAACAGGAUACGAGAGGCAGACAGUACGACUGGACCACGAGACAUAAAAUCCCUGCUCCGAGCGGAGGCGACCGGGGGACAGGAAAGGAUAAGGCUCUGUCGCCGAAGCUGUUCACCGAUUUUGCCUCCCAGCACACGUGCUUUUAUGGCGUCUCUGUAUGUGUGUCGCAAAUGCAAAAAGAUACGUCAGGAGAAGGCUCAACGAGCCUAUACGACGCGACACCGAAUGGGCGAGCUGGGUGCUUAGGUUCUGAACACCAACGGGAUCCUCCCGGAUAAUCGCCUGCAGCUUCGUAAUAAUUAAGUGGGAUGAAUUGAUAUCGCGACAGAUUUCCUCUGCGCCUCGCGUGAAAACCGUCUUUAACUGUGAUAUUCGCUGGAUUUGUGGCGAACACCACUUCGCGUCGCUGAUAUUUUAAGCGGAUUUUCUUCGCGACUGACGGAUCUAGGGGGAAUAACUUCUUUGGAUAGAGCUGGGUAGACAGAAAGUAUUUUGAAAAAAAUGGAAUAAUCGUAGGAUGGGAUGGAAGAAAGGGUUCAGUGAUAAAUGUUAGUUUCGAGAAAAAUAUUGUUUGAUGUUUUUUAGAUAUAGCGAAGUUGUUGCAAAAGUACCUGUAAUGUUACAGAAUUUAAUAUGAUAUUUCUUCUUUAUAGUUUCAUUAACACGAUCCGAAUUUCAUCCAACACUACAACUGUAAUGUUUGCUUAUUCCUCUCGUGCACGUAUUCAAUGAGACUGCAUUUUCCUGUUAGCGAUCGUCGAACUUGAGGUAACAGAAAAACGUUUUCGUUAGCCGUGAAAUUUAGCGCGAAGCUCGAUAAUGCGGAAGAUUUUCGCUCAACGUCACGAUUCUUGCACGGCGUCGAAAUCCAGGGAAUUCCAGAGUCGUCUGGUAACGCUUGAGAAUUCUGAAUGCGUCGAAAUCGUCGGUGCGUACGUUUUAUCCGCUUGCCGCGUUAUCGCCGCUUCGGCAAGCGUUGCCUGCACGCGCGACCAAGCCGCUGGAACGAGGCUGAAAAUCGAGAAGGAAGAGGCGAUGAACUGUACGAAAAAGGGAGACGUCAAUUCCUUUGACGUCUACGUAAAAAAUAAUAAUCAUUCUUGAGUAACAGCUUGAAUUUUUCAUUGAAAAAUUCUUUACACUAAUUCGAUGGUAUUGAACGAGAAGACCAGCAUGGAAUAUCAUCUAGAAGAAAAGGCAAUUGCCACGAUGAAUAAAUAAUAGCGGAAUAAAAAUCUGAAUGGAAGUUGAAAAGGCUAGGGAUAAAAGCGAAGGCAGAUUCAGGAGAACAAGACAAAGGAAACCGUGAACGAGUGCAUACCUGAAGAAAGGAAGAGUGGCCGGCGAAAAGUGAAAGAAAAACGUAGGAAAGAAUGAACGUAACUGCUUGCAAAAACUUUGUUAACCGUCUCGGAACGGUUCGAGAUUGUAGCUUCUUUGGGAUCGCGUGCGACCGGUAUUUACUUUGCAUAGUUUACGUGGAGGCGCAAAAAAAGCAGGGUAACCGAGAAUGCUGGAAACGCGAUGUAAAUGGAAGCGGGAUCAGCCUCGGUUCGCUGACUCGGGGCAUGAAGAGGAAUGAAAAAGACCGCGGCAAGAAAUGCGGCGAGAGGAAACGGCGAAACGUGGAAGACGUCUUCAUCACGGGGGUUGAAAAAUGAGAAAGAGGGCAGGAAAACGAAUUGACAAUUCCUUAAUAACCCGCGCAGAUUUAUGGUACGCCUCAGCGUCAGCUUAAUAAGCGCGGUACUUUGCGAUCCCGUAACGUGGAUACCCGUCAAAAAAAAAAAAAAAAAUUUGCAAGAAUAAGGUCGUCGAGAGAGAAAGGGAUAAUAACCGUUCGAAAUUGCGUAUAGAAAAGAAAAAGAGAAAUGUAAGAAAGGGAGGUUGAUUAAACUUAUAAAUUCUAUACAAGAGUAUUAAAAAUAAAAGUUAAAUAUAUUGAAAGAAUAAUUUUUAAAGAAACGUAAGUGUAAAAUUUAGAAAAUGAAAAUAAUACAAAAUACGGAAUUAAAUUAAAAUCAUGGCUCUCUCCAUGGUCCGCCAUUUGAGGAUAAAGGUGACAGCUGACAGAGGUGAAAGAAAAGCGGAGGAAUCCCUCGAAGGAAAGAAGCGGCUUAAUGAAUGAGAUUUUAAUGAUUCGACGAUAAUAUAUUGAAUUUCUUCCGGUUGUUUGCCCGGGAAAGAAACGGCGAACGAAGGGUACGAAGCGGAGUUACGUCCGCGAUUCAGCGUAACAGCCAAGACACGCGAGGACGAGAAAAACGUCGGAGCGGCGGUAUAUCUUACGGAAUUACCCUAAAAGGAAUUUCGCGGGUAAUCCUUGCAUCGAGCGGGCCGGAAGGGGAAGAAAAGGGAUAAGAUUCGUCGGGCGAAGAAACAGAAUUGAAAAGAGGGAAAAGUCUCUCCGGGAUUCCUUCUGGCUGCGCAGGAUUCACAGUCGGUUAAGAAAUUAUUCACGCGUUAAUAAACUCCGUUUGGGAAUCGUGUGUAUGAAGAAAGUGAAAUAGGAAGAUUUACGAGGAAAGUUGUACGGUUCCCUUGAUAAGACGGAGAACGAAAGAGGAAUAUCUCGUUCGGUUGGAAAAAUGAAAACGAGUCUGUCGGAUGAGCAAAGAAAGAAGCGACGUAGAGAUUGGCAGGUAGAAAAUGAGGAAAAA